UAUGGUCAUAUCACAUUGAAGCACAGGCUCCUACAUAAUCACAGUAGUUAAGCAAUGUUGAGUUUGGUCAGUACCUAGAUGGGCGACUGCUUGGGAAUACCAGGUGCU